GACGAACGCUGGCGGCGUGCUUAACACAUGCAAGUCGAGCGGAAAGGCCCUUCGGGGUACUCGAGCGGCGAACGGGUGAGUAACACGUGAGUAACCUGCCCCAGACUUUGGGAUAACCCUCGGAAGCGGGGGCUAAUACCGGAUACGACACAGCUUCGCAUGGGGUCUGUGUGGAAAGUUUUUCGGUUUGGGAUGGGCUCGCGGCCUAUCAGCUUGUUGGUGGGGUGAUGGCCUACCAAGGCGACGACGGGUAGCCGGCCUGAGAGGGCGACCGGCCACACUGGGACUGAGACACGGCCCAGACUCCUACGGGAGGCAGCAGUGGGGAAUAUUGCACAAUGGGCGGAAGCCGGAUGCAGCGACGCCGCGGGAGGGAGGACGGCCUUCGGGUUGUAAACCUCUUUCAGCAGGGACGAAGCGUAAGUGACGGUACCUGCAGAAGAAGCGCCGGCCAACUACGUGC
rnacentral:rRNA from 1 species